UACGUAGGGUGCGAGCGUUAAUCGGAAUUACUGGGCGUAAAGCGUGCGCAGGCGGUCUCGUAAGCUGGGUGUGAAAGCCCCGGGCUUACCCUGGGAAUGGCAUUCAGGACUGCGAGGCUCGAGUGUGGCAGAGGGAGGUGGAAUUCCACGUGUAGCAGUGAAAUGCGUAGAGAUGUGGAGGAACAACGAGGGCGAAGGCAGCCUCCUGGGCCAGCACUGCCGCUCAUGCACGUAAGCGUGGGGAGCAAACAGG
rnacentral:rRNA from 1 species